GUGCGAGACCGAUAGCGAACAAAAAUCACAUUUUAUCAAUACUUCAAUACAUGCAAACCGAAAUCCGUAUAAAAGGAUACAUUUGGUAAGCAAAACCUAACCUGAUGGUAUUCGGAACCAUCGCCACCACCCAUGCUCUCUCGUUGUUGCUGUUCGGGACUUUGA
rnacentral:rRNA from 1 species